ACCGUUACUGCCUGGUUCAUAGGUUGACGCUCAACCACUGAGCCACCCCAGCUGGGCUGCAACAUCUUAAUUUGAUGUUUAAUCAUGGGAAAUCCUUCCAACUGGCUGUGGCCUUUAGUCCUUUCAAGUGGUCUUCAUAUGAUGCCGAAAGACUUGAUUUAAGUUAACUGCUUAUUCUUUGCAAGGCUAACCCAUUUGGGAGAUGAUGUGUGGUCACUGAGUAAAAUACUCUGACCAGGCACAUUGGAGUUUGAAUUGCAGGUUAACUUCUAAUUAGCUGUGGAACCUUGCACAAAUUACUUAAUCUCAGUAAGCCUUAGUUUCCUCAUAUAACAUGGAGAUAGUAAUAGCACUUACUAAAGUGGAGAUUGUUAGUAUUAAGGGAUGUGGUGCUUGUAAAAUGCUUAGCACAGUGUGUGCCAAAUGUUGGUUCUUGUCACUGGUUGCUGUGCUUUUCCUGGGCUCCCUGCCUGCCCUAGUCAGAGCACGGCCCUCUGUCAGUGUUGGGCUGAAUGUUCAGCUGAACCAUACUGCCAGGUUGGCCACUAAAUGUCCCCUUUUCUGUAGCCCAGCCUUUCUGCUUGAACCCCCAUGGCAGUCCUGCCCUCAACCACAUAACCUGGUUGAAGGCAUGGAGGCAGAACAUUGCAAGUGAGGCAACCGGUGUGAUCAGAGCAGCCUUGUGUGUAUACAUAACGUGUUACGUAAGGCGGUGGGAGAUUGCAUUAAGAGGGGUGUGGUCAGGACUACUUGAGAGUCUACUAAGGGUAUAAUCAGAGGUUUGGGGUUGGGAAUAAGGGAUUUUGAAGGGAUUGCUCGGAUAAUGGGAAAUUGGCAAAAAUCUUUGUGUGGUGGACUGGCUGGUGAGAAUAUGGACAUGGGAGUUGGGCAUAUAGGUACAGAGGAGAAAUUUAAACUUGGUGACUGACUUGCUCUUUAGAGGAAGAGAAGUCAAAGAUGAUUUUAUUAUGGAUUAAAGGGGUGACAGUAGCUCGAGAAUCAGGAAGGGAAACAGUUGCAGGAAGAUAGAUUAUAGAUGAAGUGAGCUAGAACUAGCAGUUUGUGAGGGACGAAGAUGUGGGCUUAUACACAUACUCAGGCUUUUCUAGUACUUGUUUCUUUUGUUUCCUUGGUGACAGUUGUUUCCCUCUGAGUCUUUCUGGAGUUUGUGUUAGCACUGUCUAUCGACUCAGAAGAUAUGCCCCUCAGGCCUGGUAUCCAGUCACUUUGUAGGAUAUAAGCCUUGAUGUCACUGGUCCAUUUAAAAAAAAA